AAUCCCGUCUGUGACCGGCGACCGAUCCCAUGCGAAACCCCUUCGACGAGUCGAGUUGUUUGGGAAUGCAGCUCAAAAUGGGUGGUAAAUUUCAUCUAAAGCUAAAUACUGGCUGGAGACCGAUAGCGCACAAGUAGAGUGAUCGAAAGAUGAAAAGCACUUUGGAAAGAGAGUCAAAAAGUACGUGAAAUUGUUGAAAGGGAAGCGCUUGCAACCAGACCUGUCCGUGGGUGAUCAGCCGCCGUUCUCGGUGGUGCACUCGCCUACGAUCAGGCCAGCAUCGGUUCGGGCGGUCGGACAAAGGCCUUGGGAAUGUAGCUCCUCUCGGGGAGUCUUAUAGCCCUCGGUGCAAUGCGGCCAGCCCGGACCGAGGACCGCGCUUCGGCUAGGAUGCUGGCGUAAUGGUUGUAAGCGACCCGUCUUGAAACACGGACCAAGGAGUCUAACAUCUAUGCGAGUGUUUGGGUGUCAAACCCRUACGCGGAAUGAAAGUGAACGGAGGUGAGAACCCUUUAGGGCGCAUCAUCGACCGAUCCAGAUGUCUUCGGAUGGAUUUGAGUAUGAGCAUAGCUGUUGGGACCCGAAAGAUGGUGAACUAUGCCUGAAUAGGGUGAAGCCAGAGGAAACUCUGGUGGAGGCUCGCAGCGGU
rnacentral:rRNA from 1 species